GAUGAACGCUGGCGGCGUGCUUAACACAUGCAAGUCGAAUGAUGAAGCCCAGCUUGCUGGGUGGAUUAGUGGCGAACGGGUGAGUAACACGUGAGUAACCUGCCCUUAACUCUGGGAUAAGCCUGGGAAACUGGGUCUAAUACCGGAUAGGAGCGUCCACCGCAUGGUGGGUGUUGGAAAGAUUUAUCGGUUUUGGAUGGACUCGCGGCCUAUCAGCUUGUUGGUGAGGUAAUGGCUCACCAAGGCGACGACGGGUAGCCGGCCUGAGAGGGUGACCGGCCACACUGGGACUGAGACACGGCCCAGACUCCUACGGGAGGCAGCAGUGGGGAAUAUUGCACAAUGGGCGCAAGCCUGAUGCAGCGACGCCGCGUGAGGGAUGACGGCCUUCGGGUUGUAAACCUCUUUCAGUAGGGAAGAAGCGAAAGUGACGGUACCUGCAGAAGAAGCACCGGCUAACUACGUG
rnacentral:rRNA from 1 species